rnacentral:ncRNA from 1 species
ACGAGGUCUCAUCUGUAUUCUAGAACUUUUAAGUUCAUACGCCAACGUCAGGCAGCUAAAAUCGUUUUUGUUUAGGCCAUUGUUUUUUCAUAGAAAAAUCUUGUACGCUUGACCAUAAUGAGUAGGAGGGUCGUAGCGGUUGCGUUGAAGGCGAUAGGUGUAGACCUAGCUGGAGCUUCCGUUAGUGUAGAUCUCGGUGGUAGUAGCAAAUAUUUAAGUUCGAUCCUUGAAGACUGAAGUGGAGAAGGGUUCCACGUGAA